UGGAAGGAAGAAAACCCUCCAAAUUCCAAUUGUUCCGACAGUCCUGAAAGAAAAUCAAAACCCCAAGCGAGGGAAAACCGAGAAAGAACUAUUCUCACAGGAGAGAGAAAAUUAGAGAGAGACAACGAACAACAAUGAAGAAGGUGAAAAACACUCUUCAAUCGGAGUCAAACUCACUUUCUCACUCUCACUCACUCUCCGAUUCUCAAAACUACGCGUUUAACGACUUACCUCCGCCUUCUACCACCGAUACGCAGCGUCUAACGGAGGAGAGAGAAAAUGUCGUAGUCGGAGAUGAGGAGAGAGAAAAAGCGGAAGAAGAAGAAGUCGAUGGCGACGAAGACGACGACGAAGAAGAGUACGAGGAAGAAGAUGAAGAAGAAGAGGAAGAAGAUGAAGAAGAAGAAGUAGAGGAGAGAGAAAGAGAUGGUGUUGAAGUUUUAGAUGGUGGUACGACUACUGCUGAGCGUAAGAAGCUUGCGGAUGGAUAUUAUGAGGUUGAAUCGAUUCGUAGGAAGAGGAUUUGUAAGGGGGAGCGUCAAUAUCUGAUUAAAUGGCGUGGUUGGCCAGAGAGUGCGAACACGUGGGAGCCUGUUGAUCAUCUUCAAACAUGUCCUGAUGUUGUGGAAGCUUAUGAAGAAAGCUUGCGUUCUGGGCAAAAGAAGACUUCUCGAAAGCGGAAACGCAAAUUUACCCAACCAAAGAAGAAAAUGCAAUAUUUUUAUGGUGUCUCUAAGAAGCAUGAUGAGGCGAUGAAGAGACCUAGAGCGACCAGAAGCUUUGAUUGCAAGGGAUCUGAGACUGUAUCUCCACAUGUUGCUAGCAAUGGAAAAGAAAACAGUGACCAAUUAUAUGGCCAAGAUACAAGUACAAAGAAUAUGGAUGUACAUCUUCAGCUGCCCAUGACUGUAGAAGGAGAUGGUCCUGAAAAUUGCCAAUCCAAUGCCAACUGUGUGGAAGUAGGUCAAGGCAAUCUGUGUCGAGGUGCAAAGCGAAGGAAAUCUGGUUCUGUAAGAAGGUUCACGCCGGAUAUGACAUCACACAGUUUUGAUUACUUACCUAACACAGCACCUGCAAAUAUUAGCUCUUGUGAUAGAGUUGAUAAGCUAAUGUUAGGGAGUUCCGAUGCCUGCUGCAAGAAGAAAUUUGACAGCUCUAGGAGUUCCAAUGUUAUCACCAGUCUCAUAAAGCCUAUAAGCUAUUCAGCGUCUGUGACAAACAAUGUCCAGGAUGUUGCUGUAACCUUUGUUGCAUUGAGAUCUACAUAGUCCCCAUUUCUGUUAUGAUUUGAGUGAAUUCUCUGGACUUUGAUGAUGGUACUUUGACAAGCCGGGAAUUGAGGUCUCCCCACUUUUGUAGGCCGUAUUCUCCAUCUUGUGGUCAUGCUCUGAAGUUCACUCUACAUUAAGUGUCUGAUGGGAAGGAAGUUAUGGUUGACAACAAGUUUCUCAAGGCAAACAACCCUCAUUUGUUGAUCAAUUUCUAUGAACAGCAUCUGCGAUAUAGUCCAAAUUGAGGUGACUCAUUCUUCCACAUCUUUUGCCUUUUUGUUCGCAUUAGUAUUUUGAUGAUGCACUGGAGAUCAGAGGAGCCUUUCUAAUAGACUAGAUAUGUAGAUGAUUUUGUGCCAUAUGUAGGAUAUUCUGUGUAUUAUCUUAAUAUAGUACCAUUAUUCUAGUAGCUCAUAGUUUAGGCUCAGAGAUUGAUUGGAGUUGAUACAACCAUAGCGAUCCAUGCUGCAGAAUACUUUGUUUAAAGCGUAAAUGGUGGUAACUGUAUGGCGAUUGGAAGCGCUAUGUAUUCUCGUGCUUUUGUACUUUAAUGUAGAGCCCCUCAUCCCUUUUUGCCUAACAGGGAAGGCUCCGGAUGCUUGCUAAAUUUGAGACCAAGGUUUGCCUCACUCAUGAACGGAUUUGUUUUGCAACUCGUA